rnacentral:rRNA from 1 species
CCUACGGGUGGCUGCAGUGGGGAAUAUUGCACAAUGGGGGAAACUCUGAUGCAGCGACGCCGCGUGAGUGAAGAAGUAAUUCGUUAUGUAAAGCUGUAUCAGCAGGGAAGAAAAUGACGGUACCUGUGUAAGAAUCCCCGGCUAACUCCGUACCAGCAGCCGUGGUAAUACGUAGGGGGCAAGCGUUAUCCGGAUUUACUGGGUGUAAAGGGAGCGUAGGCGGUAGGACAAGUCUGGAGUGAAAUGCGGGGGCUCAACCCCCGGACUGCUCUGGAAAGUGUCCGGCUAGAGUGAAGGAGCGGUAAGUGGAAUUCAUGGUGUAGCGGUGAAAUGCGUAGAUAUUAGGAGGAACACCGGGUGCGAAGGCAGCUUACUGGACUAUAACUGACGUUGAGGCUCGAAAGCGUGGGGAGCAAACAGGAUUAGAUACCCUAGUAGUC